CUCCCCCCCACCGACUUUCCCUUGGUUUCAAACCCUCGGGUGGCGCCAUGCUCGCCUCCAGAGCCCUCCUCGUCCUCUCCGUCUCUGGCGGCUUCUCCCCUAUCCCCGUCCGGCGAGGGAUCUCGCGGCGCGGACUCCAUCGAGGUUCUUGAUCCCAUCUGUCAGCUAAAAACCGUAUAAGUCGAUGCCCAAAAUCACAUUCCCCUUAUUGAUCUCUCCUGGAACAUUUCUGUUCCAAGAUCGUUCGGAAAAGAGAGAGGCGGCGUCCAGUUUCAUUUGUCCCACUGCUGUUGUCCAUCCCGAUGCUUUUCCUGGGAAGACAGAUUGCACAAGAUGCACCAAAAUACAUGAUGGCUUCUGGCGAUCAAGCAGAGCUUCGUGGUUUGAAUCUGGAGUGGCUUCAACGUCAUUGAUUCGCAAGCAUGGAGUGUUCAACCACCAUACGCAAAUUUCACCAAUUCAUGGAAGCUACACCAAUGCCCUUCUACCAUGUGGCAGGAAACUCUUAUGGUGUGCAUGAAAUGGGUGCCCUCUAGCAUUACUCGUAAAUUUUAUAUUUCUUCUGUCAAAGAAAGAUCAAGACCUGGUUGCUGAUCCAUGUGAGAAGGAAUCAAUGUGCAUCCGUGAUGGAUGAUAGACAUAGGAAUUUUUCAGGGCAUUCGGUUCAAAGACAUCAGGGUAGCAGUGAUCUAUGGUUAGAGGAAUGAGAAGAGCUUACCAAAAGAUAUUCAUGUCCAGCGAUAUGAAUCCAGGAGGCCUGGAGGACUGACUUGUUGAAGUGGAAAAAAACAAAGAAUUAGCUGAAUUUCCUGCCGUGUCUUCUAUGGUGCAAUCUAUCCGCAAUUCAUUUGAGUAAAAGUUGCCGUGGAAUAUGCAAGUUCAGAAAUAGGAGUCGUUCUUGAUUUUGUUUCUCCCAUGUCCUUUUGUUUGAAAGUUUUGUAAUAUCAGAUGAAAGACAGCUUUGACUUUAAUAUCUACCUCUGGAGUACAGUUGAAAGCUUACACGUUAAAUAUUCAAAUCACAACAUGAAGAUUUUUUA